rnacentral:sRNA from 1 species
GCCAGAUGCAGUGGCGCUUGCCUGUAAUCCCAGCAGCUCAGGAGGCUGAGACAGGAGAAUCAGGCGUUCAAAAUCAGCCUCAGCAAAGGCGAGGUUCUAAGCAACUCAGUGAGACCCUGUCUCUA